AGUGCUAUUCAUGUGCAAGAGU
rnacentral:miRNA from 10 species